AUUUUGUUGCUGGCAGAAACUACCUUGUGUCAUUCUGAUUUGCUAUGACUCCAGAUGCUGAUCAGAUAUAGAGCUUGUAUAGAGCUAUUACUCUUUAAUUUCGUUUUCCUCUAAAGAACUACCUGAGACUGAGUAAUUUAUAAAUCAAGGAGGUUUAAUUGACUCAGAGUUGUGCAUGGCUGGGAAGGCCUCAGGAAACUUGCAAUUAUGGUGGAAGGCAGAGAGGAAGCAGUAAGGCACAUCUUACAUGGCAGCAGGAUGCGGGGAGUGCUACAACUUGAGAGCACCAGAUCUCGUGAGAACUCACUAUUACAAGAACAGCAUGGGGAAAACUGCCGCCAUGAUUCAGUCACCUCCCACUGAUGGCAGUGGCAGCCGUCUGGAGUGGCCUCUGUGAUGACGACACUUGCAGGAGGCAAGGUACUGCUGCGGCUGCUUGCUCUGUGCAUCUGGCAAGAGUUCCGAAGAGGUCCACCCAUGGCUGCCCAUAGACCAAUCAGCAUGCACUUUCUCCUUUCUGAGCCCAUAACAUCCCCGGACUCAGCCAGACUCACCAUCUGCGGGAAGGAGCUCCCCACUUUGGGUCUCCUCAGUUCUUCCAGAUGAGUGUCCUGCAGAAAGGAGAUACCCACUCUAGGUCUCCUCACUGCAGAGACCUGGAUACUUAACAGGACGACCUGACUGUGGAAAGGAGUUACCCACUUUGGGUCUCCUGAGAGCUGUUCUGUCCCUCACCGAAGCUCCUCUGUGCCUUGCUCACCCUCCAGUUGUCUGCGUACCUCAUUCCUCAUUGAUGUGGAACAAGAACUUGGGACAGGAUGAAUGGUGGGAUUGAAAGAGUGGUAAACAAGCAGGGCUGAAACACACCACUCUGCUUGCCAUGUUGUGGAUGACAAGAAGGAGAGAAUAGCUGCAGCCCUUCGGGAGGCCAGGCACAGGGACUCCCCAAGCCAGGGUUGUGACACCCUCUUUGGGCUCUGCAAUUACUUGUGUCUCCAAGCUUCUAGGUUCCACUACGUUCCCCUAGUCCAGAUGCGAGUGCCCACAGUGAAAGCCGCAUGCAGUACAUCUGGUCCAGCCACAGCCUUGCAUGGAGCUGGCAUCUGUGCUGGGGCCUGUAGCUGCCCGCCCCACCACAGCAACCAGUGUGCCUGGCUGUGCAUAGUGGCUGAACCCGCGCUUACUCAUGCACACUUCCCUCACUGCUCCAUGCCUGACUCGCUGUUGGCAGGCGUGGGAGCUGGGCCAACAGUGUGAGCCAAGUGCAGCCUGCUGAGUCGAGUGGGCAGGAAAAUCCCAGUGAGCGUGAGCAAUAUUCAGGCAGAAGGCACUGCCAGCCACAGAGGUUUCUGGCUGGUGAAAUAACACCCCAAGGAGCCCAUGACAUCACCAGGUCUCUCUCUCAAUAUGUGGAGAUUACAAUUUGAGAUGAGAUUUGGGUGGGGACGCAGAGCCAAACCAUAUCAUUCCUAUUAUUAUUUUAUAUUAAACUUUUGAAGCUUACUUUACUAUUUAGGUAGCAAUGCAUUUAGUGAGACUGUUCAAAUCAUUUGAUGAUAAUUGAUAAAAUAUCUUUGGAAUUGUGUGCCUUCUCAUUUCCAGAAAGUAUUGGAAGUUUUUACUUGUACCAUGGAUAGCUACAUCUUGUUACACGGAAACGGAGUGGUUUCAUUUUUGUUUGGAAGCUUUAAUGUAUAAAAAUCUUUAUAUGAAAGUGGAGUAAGCAAACGGGUAUAUUGGUCUAUCAAUUUAUUACUUGCAGUACCAAAUCUACUUCCCUUUUUCCUACUUUGUGAGAUCAGAGCUAAACUCUUAAUAUUUUUCCUUUGCCACUUGGUACAAGUAGACUUUGUCAGUAGAGGAGGCCAGCGGGACACUGAAGCUCAAAGCAAUGUAUGCUCCUGGUUGCUUUAUUUCCUCCUAUGUUAUGGGUACAAGGUGGAGGACCAGUGGUGCUCAGGUUUCAGUGCAUCUACAGAAUACCACUUCCUGUGAAUCAGCUCGAGCACACUAGUACUUUCAAGUGAUCUUCUUGGUCACAUAGUGUACAGUUUCCAUAUACAAAUAUGGCUCACCUGAAUCUUUUAACAAGUUUAUCAGCCAUACAGUGGCCACGCUUGCAAACUAGCUCCAAUCUGCGCAUUGUGAGAAAUUUUUUUGCUAUAGGUAUGCUGCUGGCUCAGGUGGUAGCCCCACUGUCUCCAAUAAUGUCUGCUUCUCAGCCUGGGAAGAGUGUGCUGUUAUAUAUUCUCAGUUUCUUCAAUGUUUUCUCUUGCUCACCCCUAGAAAUAAAAGCAAAUUUCUACAUUUCUAUUUCUUUGUUCCUUGGAUGUCUCAUUCCCCUUUUUUAGUAGCUAAUCAUCUUUUACUAGUUAGUAAUUAUUUAUAAUAAAAACUUUUUUUGAUCACUGAUAUGCUUUCUGUCUCUUGACUAGACCCUAACUGAUAUACCUACAUUGAAAUAAGUUGUAGGUUGCAUAAAAUUUGUUGAACAUUUCUGCUUCAACACAAAUUAAGAUGAGCACAGUUGAACACAAUAAUUAUUUUACAAAAGUAUUAUAUCAUCAUCAUAACAAUUAUAGAGGGACAUUAAAUAUCCUGCAGAAUCAAGUACUGACAUAAUAUUUUAUUUGUAGCUUUAAAAAAGGUAAUAUUUAAAAAAAACUUAUUUGCUGAAUGUUUACUCAUGGUUAACAUCUUUCUUGGUCAAAAUUGAGGCACUGAUUAUUAUUCUCUACCAAAUAAUUGUUUCAUAUAACUGUGAUACAGAUAACAAAACAUGUUGACUUUUAUCUCACAUUCUCUGUUAAUUAUUAUUUGCUUUUCCCCCAUUUUUGAGUAGUAAAUACUAAGUAAAGUGAAUAAAAAAAUUGACUCCAGAUUCAAUACAUAAUAUCAGUACAAAUAGCAAAGGUAUUUGUCUGUAGGGUCACCCAUCACCAAAAUGAUUCAAUCAAAGUUAUAUAUUUACUAUGCAGUCUAGUUAAGAUUGAAAUUAGAAAAGGAGUUAUUAUUUCUACACAAAUACUUAUUUUGUGAUUUGUCAAAAAUUACCACAUUCUUUGGAUAACAAAACAGUAAACAGUGCAAAGGAAUUGCUGUUGUUGUUGUUCUGUUGUCAUAGCAUUGAGAUUUUUGAUAUGAGCAUAAAGCUUCUCACACCAACAUUAAUCUCUUGAGUUAUAUACAUUAGUAUAUAUUUUGCUUGUGAGCAGUGAUCAUGUUUCUUUAGCCUUAUUUAUUUGCUGCUUUGCCAUGUAUAUAUAUAUGGAUGGGCAACAUUUGUCAUUGCCUCCCUUAAAAUAGAUUCUGUUUCAAAAGCUUUAACAUGGACUACAUUAAAGUCUGAUCAAGGUAUGCUGAGACAAAUCUGUGGAUUUGGUUCUGUGUUGUAUUGAUGUUUGUUUUCUAUGGCUGUUUAUUUUCCAGUCAUGUAGAAAGAUUCCUAAGAGAAUAUAUUCCAGAUUGACUUUUUAUGGGUCUUUAGUAGAAUCUAGAAUGCUAUUUCAGGAGAUCUUGUGGUUCAUCUGCAGAAACAUAUCACCUAAUUGAAGAGCCCCACUCCUUCUCCAAUCAUGGACAUCUGCAAGUUUAAGAUGGUGACCAAAGUCCUGCACAAAAUCUUAAGUAUGGUCCUAGAAACUCAGAACCUCUAAGCUUGCUAGUCUCUGAACCUAGAAAUAUCCAUGAUCAAGUUAAUAGAAGAUGGCACAUUCUAGACAAAAAUUUUGUGGAACUUUUAAUAAUACGAUCAUGCCUGCUAGUAACAAAAGUUAAAAAAAAAUUAUCAACAAUAUAACACAUUGUGUGAUUUAAAACAGAAGUUAGAUUAAAGCAUAUAUUAAAAUUCAAGCUAUAUUCCCUUCUCACCCUUAUACUGUGGUGAGAAUUGUGCAAAUAGACUUCUACCUGUCCUUUGAUAUUGAAGAAAAUGAAAUAAUGCCACCCUCCCCCCAAAUAAAUGUUUUUGUUUUGUUUUGUUUUGUUUUUUUGACGGAGUCUCUGUCACCCAGGCUGGAGUGCAGUGGCAUGAUCUUUGCUCACUGCAACCUCCACCUCUGAGGUUCAAGCAAUUCUCCUGCCUCAGCCUCCCGAGUAGCUGAGACUACAGGCGUACACCACCACACCGGCUAAUUUUUUGUAUUUUUAGUAGAGACGGGGUUUCACCAUGUUAGGAUUAUCUCGAUCUCCUGACCUCAUGAUCCGCCCAUCUUGGCCUCCUAAAGUGCUGAGAUUACAGGCAUGAGCCACGGUUCCUGGCCCAAAUAAAGCUUUUGAAAGAAAAGUUAUAGCAUUCACAUGAGAGGGUUUUUUUUUUGAAAAAUUGUAUGCCAAAUGUAAGGUUUAUUCCAUGGUGUAAUUUGUAGAUAAUCUAUAUAGUACUAACAAUAUAAUUGUACUUUUUUUAACUAUAGUUCCUCUUUUGUUUUGUAAAUUCAUUAUAAAUUGUUUAUCAAUUAUACUGUCAUCAUUAAAGAAUGAGAAAGAAAACUCUCAAGAGCAUUUUUAAUUGUAAUGAUUUGAUUAAACAAGAAGUGCUGUAAAGAAGGUAAUGA
rnacentral:lncRNA from 10 species